UCAUGUGUGGAAUUAUGCUACCGAUCGGAAGAUGCUAAAACUUGAUAUCCAAUUUGUUAUCUCCUAUUUUGUAACUGAUCUUGGCAAAUGGCCACGGUCACAAACACAACCCGCUAUAUAAUUGGUCAUGGCGACAGCGUUUUAGAACAAUGGUUGCUGUUAUAAUUUUGUAAUAAAUGAUGAAACGAUAUCAGUCUAAAUAGUGUACUAAAUAAGAAUUUAUAUAUUUAAAAUUUCUACAAAAUAAUAUACCGAAAAUAUACCUUUACUUAAUAAGGUCUUUCAAAACUCACGUAAAUUAUGUUUUCCCAGUUUUGUGCCAAGAGUUAAGAACUUUAAUUAUGCAAUGAAGAUGUCCGUGACUGCGGUGGACCACCACACAACUAACGACUCGCCAGACAUCAAUCAGCAAAACCAAGCAAGCAAACAUUUAAAAAAUAAGAAGUUGGAGAAUCGAUACAUCUACAGAUCCAAUUUUAUACUCCCUCCGUUUUUUAAUAUAAGUCGUUUUAA